rnacentral:tRNA from 1 species
AUUCUUGUAGUUGAAUAAACAACGAUAGUUUUUCAAGUUAUUGGUCUUGGUUAGAAUCCAGGCGGGAAUA